rnacentral:rRNA from 1 species
AACGUAGGAGACAAACGUUAUCCGGAGUUACUGGGCGUAAAGGGCGUGUAGGUGGUUUAGUAAGUCUGGCGUGAAAUUUUUCGGCUUAACCGGGAAAGGUCGUCGGAUACUGCAAUACUAGAGGACGGUAGAGGCGUGUGGAAUUCCGGGUGUAGUGGUGAAAUGCGUAGAGAUCCGGAGGAACACCAGUGGCGAAGGCGACACGCUGGGCCGUACCUGACACUGAUGCGCGACAGCAUGGGGAGCAAACAGG